rnacentral:rRNA from 1 species
AACGUUGACCCGUGAUCCGGGUUGCGGACAGUGUCUGGUGGGUAGUUUGACUGGGGCGGUCUCCUCCUAAAGAGUAACGGAGGAGCACGAAGGUUGGCUAAUCCUGGUCGGACAUCAGGAGGUUAGUGCAAUGGCAUAAGCCAGCUUGACUGCGAGCGUGACGGCGCGAGCAGGUGCGAAAGCAGGUCAUAGUGAUCCGGUGGUUCUGAAUGGAAGGGCCAUCGCUCAACGGAUAAAAGGUACUCCGGGGAUAACAGGCUGAUACCGCCCAAGAGUUCAUAUCGACGGCGGUGUUUGGCACCUCGAUGUCGGCUCAUCACAUCCUGGGGCUGAAGUAGGUCCCAAGGGUAUGGCUGUUCGCCAUUUAAAGUGGUACGCGAGCUGGGUUUAGAACGUCGUGAGACAGUUCGGUCCCUAUCUGCCGUGGGCGCUGGAGAACUGAGGGGGGCUGCUCCUAGUACGAGAGGACCGGAGUGGACGCAUCACUGGUGUUCGGGUUGUCAUGCCAAUGGCACUGCCCGGUAGCUAAAUGCGGAAGAGAUAAGUGCUGAAAGCAUCUAAGCACGAAACUUGCCCCGAGAUGAGUUCUCCCUGACUCCUUGAGAGUCCUGAAGGAACGUUGAAGACGACGACGUUGAUAGGCCGGGUGUGUAAGCGCAGCGAUGCGUUGAGCUAACCGGUACUAAUGAACCGUGAGGCUUAACCUU